rnacentral:lncRNA from 1 species
CGGCACCUCAUAAAAAUAAAUAAAUAAAUGUAUUAAAAUAAGUAAAACAAAGCUAUUGUGUCUAUCUACAACUAAUUUAAAAAAAAAAACUCACAAAUGAAGUCAGAAUGAGAGGAAGAAAGAAAUAAAGAACACUAAACAAUCAAAAAGUAACAGUAAGUCCUGGAUCUCAGUAGUUACAUUAAAUGGAAAUGGAUUAAAUUCUUCAAUCAAAAUGCAGGAGUGAGCUGGGCACAGUGGUGCAUGCCUGUAAUCCCAGUGAUUUGGGAGGCUGAGGCAAGAGGAUCAAGAGUUCAAAGCCAGCCUCAGCAACAGCGUGGUGCUAAGCAACUCGGUGAGACCCUGAGUUCAAUCCCUGGUCUCCCCCCCCCCCCAAAAAAAAAAUCGAAUAGAGUGGUUGAGUAGAUUUUUUUUUUAAGAUGUAAUAAUAUGCCCUCUAUAAGAGAUUCACUUUAGGUUUAAGGGCACACACAACCUGAAAGUGAAGGAAUCACAAAAGAUACUCCAUGCUGAUGGUUACCAAAGUAGAACAGGAGUAGUUCUGUUUAGGUCAGAUAAAAUACCCUUCAAUUCAUGAACUCUCUUUAGGAGAGACAAGGAAGAUUGUUACACAAUGACAGAGGAGUUCUUCGUGGAGAUAUAAUCAUUGUAAAUGUGUGUGCGCUAAGUACUGAAGCAUCUAGAUAUGCUAGGCAAAUGCAGACAGUAGGCAAUAUUAGGAGACUUAAAUCACUUGCUUUCAAGAGGCAUAUAAAUAAAUAAAAGACCCAUUUAUAACUAAAAGAAUUUACAUAUUUUAAAAAAUAAAAUAAUAGUACCAACACACCAGCUCACGCGUGCUUGGUGCUUGUGUGUGCACAUACACACAUACAUCUGGAUGGUCUAUGCGCGCUCUUUUAUUUUGUAGUUGUAGAUGGACACAAAACCUUUAUUUUAUUUUUAUGUGGUGCUGAGAAUCGAACCCAGGGCCUCAAACGUACAAGGCAAGUGCUCUGCUACUGAGCUAAACUCCAGCCCCAGCUAUUAUUAUUUUAAGAGAGCUUAACUCUUAGGUCAACUAGCACGAAGGAGAAAUAAAUAAGUUUUCUUAUUUAUUUUGCUCUCACUAUGCCUUUUUGGCUGGUUUUCCUGUUUUUAUGUAGAUCUGAGCUGCUAUCCAAUAUAAUUUUCUUUCUCUCUAAAUGUCAGAAGGAACUUACGUUUCUUGCAAGGGAGGUCUGCCACAAUGGAUUCCCU